GGGAAGCAGCGGCCACCAGCGCGUGCAGCGGGGUCCUUGGCGGGGUGGCCGGGAAACGGCGGAGGGCGUCCGCGCGGGCAGCGGGGCGGGGCGGCCGGGUAGCGGCGGAGGGAAGCGGCACCCAGCGGCGGCGGCCUCGGCAGGAGAAGACGAAGGGCCGCCGGAUUACGUUCAUUCAAAGAAAAUGUGAAAGUUGGUUUCCCUAACUCGUUGAUCCACCAUUGUCUACGCGUUACAUAGGAUUUAUAUAAACCUGUCUAACUAAUCAAUCUAAUGAAAGUAGUCUCUUUAAUACACUUACGAUAACAACCGUAUUUGGACAGAUAUGUCGAAUAUCCCUUAGUGUCUGAAACACACGGACAUGCUUAAAGGGCCUCUCGGCGGUACCCGCGAGACCAACUGUGGUGGAAGAAGUGUAGAAGGGACCGCUCCUUUUGCAACGUGUGUGCCGAACUCCUUACUCCUGGGAGGGAGAGGAAGUCUCCUUACAAAUUAACGUUCAUCAUUUAGAAAGAAGGGCAGGUAUAGAACUGUCUAAACCGGUGGUUUAAUAAGUAGAGCUUAUGGACUUUGACGUUCGUAGUCUGGUUCGAUUCGUAGUAUAAGUUUCUUAUACGUUGAAAGGAUGUACUAAGUCAAAGAAAUUAAAGGAUAACGACUUGACAUAUCGCCAAAAACAAGUACGUAAACCCAAGAUAUCAGGAUGUAAUCCCAAGACGAGUCCCCUAAAACAAGUACGUACUAAGUGACAUGUUAUCCUAAACAACUCUUAAGUAUUUGUUAUUUUCAAAGGACGAACCCAGUGUUAAUGAGUUUAUCGUCGCCCGAGCCGGACGCGACCGCCGCCGCAACAGGGAGAGGAGGCAGCUCGCCACCGCGUCCUGCGUCGUCCGAACUGGAUUCAGCCGCCGCCCCGAACGGGGCUGUGUGGUCGGGUUCGCUGCGGCGACAGCUAGGUACGUGCGGCGGAUAGGACUGUACGGAGACCGGUAGUUAAGGCUACAGUACACCCUCGGAAGAGUAGGCACAUCCAAGAGGAGACGGGUGCAGAGCCCCGCUGGUGACGUCGGCUUCGACUACGCGGGGCAGCCGACUGCGCGGGUGGAGGGACUAUAAAGAGACACAUGCCCUAACUGGACGCCAAGACAACCACCAGAAGGGGUAGAAUCCGCAAACCUGAACCCUCCGUCACCUAGGCUCUCCGUGUCCCAACAAAUAAGUAAACUGAUACCACGGCGACGACAAGAUUUGCUGCGACGGCUGCUCGCUACUUGGUAGACCAUUACGUUUAGGAACACGGAAUCAUCACUACUCAUAGGCAGAUACUUCCGUUUAGUACAGAUGAAUGACUACUCUUAUAGGCAGAUACUUCCGUUUAGUACAGAUGAAUAACUACUAUCACACGCAAACUGUCACACAACUCUUAUUAACGCCACUAUACCUUUAAGAAUUGAACCUAUUAUUGUGAUCCCCGCUUGAACACAGACGACUUGAAACACAAUGCCUGGAAUAAGUUCGUCUCCGUUCUUAGUCGAAGGUCCCAGAGAGAAGGAAGCCCAUGUCCUUCUUCCACCCACUCAACGUCUCCCUUCGCCCCAACCCUUCUCGGAUGGCUCAGCUUCCUCCGGUGUUUGAAAAAAUAGAAGGCCCAACCUGAAACGGAAGAAGUCCAACCAGCUGACUGGGUAAACAAACUACGAAGUACGUGAAGAGAAGCAGUCAAUUGAAUCAUAAAGAAGUUGACAACAAAAAGAAACAGUCAAUUGAGGAAGUCAAACGCAAGAACAGGAGCCACGUCUGUUGGAAGAUAACGUCCAGAGAUGGUGAAACCAGGUUGUCGGGCUGAUGGUACGUACACCUAGUGUGCACUAAUCUUUCUACCUGUACCGAAACUGAUUUAUCAAAACACAAAAAGAACCAAAUAGUAACAAGAUUAGUACUUCAAACCAUCCACCACCGGCAAAUUAUAUAUAUAUAGUGAACCCAAACCUAUUAUGUGAAAUGGUAUGUAAGACAUAUUUACGUUACGGAUACAAAAAAUAAAGAUUUCACUUAAGUAUUGGACUCUUAUGAUACUACCCCGAUUAGACUUAUACCGUUAGGUACUAUACAGGACUACGAGUCAAAAUAACUGUAAUGGUUCUCUUUCUUAUGAAACUACAUCGUAUAGACGUUACAAGUACAUACCACUGGUUCGAGAAGAAAAAGUGAUGAGCGGUUGAAUUCAGUCAUAUCAAGUGUAAAGUAGACUCGGUUAAGUCUCUAAUUAUGUACUAAAGAAGGAGUUAAAGAUGUAGUCUAGUAGAUUUUUAGAUUUUUAAAGAAUAGGUUCAUAAUUAGAAGCAACAAGUCUUAAACUGAUACAUUCACACACCUACACGACUUGGUCUGAUAUAGAAGGCACCAACGGUGUAGGAUUGUAUUCGAUUUUGUAAGAAUCGAUACCUAGAAGAAAGAAAAAAAUCUCAUUAUCAACUAAACAACAAAGUAUGAUUACGGCAAAUUUUAUAUUGAUACAAAAUAAGGAGUCUCUCGUUAGUAUGUCCCCUUAUAUUACAACACAAACACGUAGGAGUAAACCGUUCUCAAGUAUUAUGAUAAACAGAGACAUACUGUCAUGAGUCGUAAUCAACUACGUCUUAUACAGAUAUGAAAAUGGUUCCUCAAGAUUACUAAACUCCUAACGUAUACACGUCGAGUCUGUAACGAAGACAUGUGGUGAUUACUAAGCUCCUAAUAUAAGACGUUCCUUGGUUAAAAAUUACCGGCGCCGUUGGUACUAGUCGAAGAGUUUUUCGGUUCCACGAUCCAUGUUUAGUUGAAUUACAAAUAAACUUGUUUGUGUCUUAAAACGAACUAGAAGUCUAUCUCCGUAGCUAACCCUCCUUGGCUAUAUCCCGCGGCGCCGACCAUAGGGUCACGACUAGGAGAGGCUAAUCAAAGGGACGCGAAGUGGAAGGACGUGCGAAAAUAGUUAUGCUGCUAGAAGAGGGAAGCUCAAGACGGUAUUGUUCACGGCGUUGAACGUGGACUAGACGGUAUCGAGGAUGUCUCGGGCGCCCCAGCUGUCGCACCUCGCGUAGGUGAGCCUGAUGCCGGCGUCGGCGCGGCAGCAGUUCUACGAGACCAGACAGGUCAAGUGCACAGCGUUAUCUCUCAUGGCGGAGUGCCACAAGGACGUACUAUGCCGUACCUCCUGGUGAACGUGGGGAACGACACUAGGACCAUGUUCCGGGCGAAGACGGUGCCCGGCGACGACACCGUCGUAGAAGAAGGGGUCAUAGCUGCUGAGCUUGUAGUGGUCUGUCUCGUAGUACCCGCCGUAGAGGUAGGGGAGGCGAUGCCGUUCCUAAACCGGCUCCUACAACUGCUCGUCCGCAAGGAGUCCCGGUUGUUACCACUCGACAAGGUAGAGACGACGCGCCCCUAUCUCGAGCAGCAAUACUGUAGGCCGACCAUACACCAUCUCCGGCACCGCCUCCGUUUCUGCUGGAGUAGUAACAACGGUUAUUCCUGUACUAGAGUCAAGUUUACGUACACGGCUGCUUUGGAAACCAUUUUAUAUUAUUCUCCAUCAUUAAUUUAAAAGAGUUACAUAGAUACUAAAAAAUUCUGUAUUAUAUUAUCUAACUUGUAAAUCAAAUGUACAUGAGUUUAAGGGAAAUCAAAUAAACAUGUCCACUACUCGAAGAAUAAAAUAGUGAUGGAAGGAGACUAAAAGAGAGACAUAUAAUAGUACAUGUUAUAAAGAUAAAUACAGUCUGACAGUUUGAUAAUAUAAAAGACAAUAGGGAUAACAAAAUAAUAAACACACGUAUAAAAGAAAGGUCUAAACGUAAAAACCACUAUUAGAUAUAGAGAAUAUAUCACACUACUUACUAUAUAUAAUAAUUAGGUUUAUAACUACAAAUAUGUUGGUUUAGAGUAACUUUAUAUAACGUUGCCCAGGGCGGCGUUGUGCGCCCCGUAGUAGAUCAAUAAAUAUAUCCGGUUAUACUACAAGCGUUACUACGUGCCCGUAGUCUAAAUGAUAUAUAUAUCCGGUUAUUCC
rnacentral:rRNA from 1 species